AGGGUUUGAUCCUGGCUCAGGGCUAACGCUGGCAGCGUGUCUUAGACAUGCAAGUCGAGCGGGGGUUGGUCCCAUAGGUUCCCUCUGGGAACCUAUGGGAUUUCAGCUCUAGCGGCGGACGGCUGAGUAAUACACAGGUAACCUGCCCCGAAGUGGGGGAUAACCCUGGGAAACCGGGGCUAAUACCCCAUGUGGUGGUAGGAACACAAGUUCCUACCAUCAAAGGCCCGCAAGGGUCGCUUCGGGAGGGGCCUGUGGCCCAUCAGGUAGUUGGUGGGGUAACGGCCCACCAAGCCGAUGACGGGUAGCCGGCCUGAGAGGGUGACCGGCCAGAGGGGCACUGAGACAAGGGCCCCACCCCUACGGGGGGCAGCAGUCUAGAAAAUUGGGCAAUGGGCGAAAGCCUGACCCAGCGACGCUGCGUGGGGGAAGAAGGCCUACGGGUUGUAAACCCCUGUCAGGAGGGAGGAAGCCCCGCCGAAGGCGGGGUGACAGUACCUCCAGAGGAAGCCCCGGCUAACUCCGUGCCAGCAGCCGCGGUAAUACGGAGGGGGCGAGCGUUGCCCGGAUUCACUGGGUGUAAAACGGGUGUAGGCGGGCNGGUAAGUCGGGGGUCAAAGCCCAGGGCUCAACCCUGGUACGGCCUCCGAAACUGCCAGUCUUGAGGGGGGCAGAGGAGAGUGGAACUCCCGGUUGGAGCGGUGAAAUGCGUUGAUAUCGGGAGGAACACCAGUGCGAAAGCGGCUCUYUGGGCCCCUCCUGACGYUGAGACCCGAAAGCCAGGGAGCGAAAGGGGAUUAGAUACCCYCNGUAGUCCUGGCCGUAAMCGAUGCUCACUAGGGAUGGGAAGGUAAACUUUCYGUCCCGUAGCUAACGCGUUAAGUGAGCUACCUGGGGAGUACGCCCGCAAGGGUGAAACUCAAAGGAAUUGACGGGGGGGCCGCACAAGCGGUGGAGGACGUGGCUUAAUUCGAUGAUACGCGAGGAACCUUACCCGGGCUUGACAUGCCGGUGGUACCGACCCGAAAGGGAAGGGACCCCUAUAUGGGGAGCCGGCACAGGUGGUGCAUGGCUGUCGUCAGCUCGUGCCGUGAGGUGUAUGGUUAAGUCNUACAACGAGCGCAACCCCUGCCCUUAGUUGCCAGCAGCGCCUUAUGGCGGCUGGGCACUUUAAGGGGACUGCCGGCGCAAGCCGGAGGAAGGAGGGGAGGACGUCAAGUCAUCAUGGCCCUUAUGCCCGGGGCUGCACACGUCCUACAAUGGGCGGUACAGCGGGUUGCGAAGCCGCGAGGGGGAGCCAAUCCCUGAAAACCGCCCCCAGUUCGGAUCGGAGGCUGCAACUCGCCUCCGUGAAGCUGGAAUCGCUAGUAAUCGCGGAUAAGUACGCCGCGGUGAAUACGUUCCCGGCCCUUGUACACACCGCCCGUCACGCCAUGGGAGCCGGGGACAUCCGAAGUCACCCUUACCAACCCUUACGGGAGGGGGGUGCCGAGGAUGGACCCGGUGACUGGGGCGAAGU
rnacentral:rRNA from 1 species